UACGGAGGGGGCUAGCGUUGUUCGGAAUUAUUGGGCGUAAAGGGCGCGUAGGCGGCUUUUCAAGUGACGGGUGAAAUCCCUCGGCUUAACCGAGGAACUGCCUGUCAGACUGGAAGGCUUGAGACCGGGAGAGGUGAGUGGAAUUCCCAGUGUAGCGGUGAAAUGCGUAGAUAUUGGGAGGAACACCAGUGGCGAAGGCGGCUCACUGGACCGGAACUGACGCUGAGGCGCGAAAGCGUGGGGAGCAAACAGG
rnacentral:rRNA from 1 species